AUUGAACGCUGGCGGCAGGCCUAACACAUGCAAGUCGGACGGUAGCACAGGGGAGCUUGCUCCUUGGGUGACGAGUGGCGGACGGGUGAGUAAUGUCUGGGAAACUGCCUGAUGGAGGGGGAUAACUACUGGAAACGGUAGCUAAUACCGCAUAACGUCGCAAGACCAAAGAGGGGGACCUUCGGGCCUCUUGCCAUCAGAUGUGCCCAGAUGGGAUUAGCUAGUAGGUGGGGUAACGGCUCACCUAGGCGACGAUCCCUAGCUGGUCUGAGGGGAGGAAGAGCCACACUGGAACGGAGACACGGUCCAGACUCCUACGGGAGGCAGCAGUGGGGAAUAUUGCACAAUGGGCGCAAGCCUGAUGCAGCCAUGCCGCGUGUAUGAAGAGGGCCUUCGGGUUGUAAAGUACUUUCAGCGGGGAGGAAGUUGUUGUGGUUAAUAACCGCAGCAAUUGACGUUACCCGCAGAAGAAGCACCGGCUAACUCCGUGCCAGCAGCCGCCGUAAUAC
rnacentral:rRNA from 1 species